rnacentral:tRNA from 1 species
UUCGUGGUGGUCCAGUGGCUAAGACACUGUGCUCCCAGUGCAGGGGGCCUGGGUUCGAAUCCUGGUCAGGGAA